GAUCAUGGGCUCAGGAUGAACGCUAGCUACAGGCUUAACACAUGCAAGUCGAGGGGCAGCAUGGUCUUAGCUUGCUAAGGCCGAUGGCGACCGGCGCACGGGUGAGUAACACGUAUCCAACCUGCCGUCUACUCUUGGACAGCCUUCUGAAAGGAAGAUUAAUACAAGAUGGCAUCAUGAGUUCACAUGUUCACAUGAUUAAAGGUAUUCCGGUAGACGAUGGGG
rnacentral:rRNA from 1 species